rnacentral:rRNA from 1 species
UGCUGCCUACGGGGCGCAGCAGUGAGGAAUAUUGGUCAAUGGGCGAGAGCCUGAACCAGCCAAGUCGCGUGAGGGAGUACUGCCCUAUGGGUUGUAAACCUCUUUUGUCGGGGAGCAAAAGCCGGACGCGUCCGUCUGUGAGAGUACCCGAAGAAAAAGCAUCGGCUAACUCCGUGCCAGCAGCCGCGGUAAUACGGAGGAUGCGAGCGUUAUCCGGAUUUAUUGGGUUUAAAGGGUGCGCAGGCGGAUUUUUAAGUCAGCUGUCAAAUCGUGGGGC